rnacentral:rRNA from 1 species
AGUGAACGCUGGCGGUAGGCCUAACACAUGCAAGUCGAACGGCAGCACAGUAAGAGCUUGCUCUUACGGGUGGCGAGUGGCGGACGGGUGAGGAAUACAUCGGAAUCUACUUUUUCGUGGGGGAUAACGUAGGGAAACUUACGCUAAUACCGCAUACGACCUACGGGUGAAAGCAGGGGAUCUUCGGACCUUGCGCGAUUGAAUGAGCCGAUGUCGGAUUAGCUAGUUGGCGGGGUAAAGGCCCACCAAGGCGACGAUCCGUAGCUGGUCUGAGAGGAUGAUCAGCCACUCUGGAGCUGAGACACGGUCCAGACUCGUACGGGAGGCAGCAGUGGGGAAUAUUGGACAAUGGGCGCAAGCCUGUUCCAGCCAUACCGCGUGGGUGAAGAAGGCCUACGGGUUGUAAAGCCUUUUUGUUGGGAAAGAAAAGCAGCAGGUUAAGACCCCGCUGUUCUGACGGUACCCAAAGAAUAAGCACCGGCUACCUUCGG